GAACGAUCCUUACUCGCACUCAACGAAUCAGCCAAACAACCCAAACGACUAGAAAACACAUCCGCAAAAAAACUACAGACAUUAAACAAUAGGUCACAGGACAAAGAAACUAAAACCAAAAACAAGCACAUUGAAAAACAAUUGAAAGAACUAACACCUUCAAACAGACCACAAAUGAACAUUACAAGACAACCACAGAAAACAAAACAUAUACAACAUCCAACAAAUACACCAAAAACACAACGAGUAGCACACACAACACAUGUAAACACAACAAAUACACCACAAACUACCUUCCACAGCCACAUACAAACCCAUAUGCUUACACAGGCACAUAACACCACAUACAGCCCUAUACAAAUGAACACUACAACAACACCAAAAACACUCCAGAAACAACACACGUCAACACCACAACGCCAUCAUAACAACAAUACACACAGUAAUAACAGAACUCAGACAAUUACUCCGAAUCAAAUACCACAUACCCCUACAACUCCUCUCAUGCAAGUUCGAACCUCCAUGCAACAUACUACUCUGACACAUCCUCAAACACCAAAACUACGAAUACCACCACGCUCUCAGCAAACCUACAAUACACAACAACCCAAGACCAACAAUUUGCAACAACAGAACAGAACACCACCACCUACUAACACUCACCACUGGCAACACAUCCCACAAAACAGAUGGCACCCACAACACACAAACAAGCAAUAUUCCACACAACAUAACCUGAAACGUACAAUCCCAAAUACAUUAUUUUCUUCUAAACCAAACGCACAAACUACAGAAAUAAUGCAAAACAUAACCACAACAUACACGCCAAGCACAAACAUGAAUACUAAUAAAUACAACAAAAACACUAUACUUAAGUUCAUGAAAAUACCACGUAACACCAAAAAUAACAGAUACCUUAGUAAAAACAAAUUACACAAAAAAAUGCACAACAACCUACAACACAAAGCAGUUAUUAACCUAUCAGAUAAAAACAUUUCUAAUUCCACACUAAUAGCACUAUCUAAAGGCUUGUCUUAUAUCCCUUCCCCCAAACCGACACCUUACAAGCAAAUUUAUAACUCAUUCCUAAAAUACAGAAAACACAUGUACAACAGAUAUUUCUUCAGGCACAACACAAAUAACAAGAGACACCCAUUUAAACUACCAACAAAUUUCACAGCCCCGAUUCCAGAUAACAGCAACCUUCAAGAAUACAUUUCAAACAUUUACCAAGACCUGAAAACAGAAUAUGAGGAACAAAAAGAACGUGCAAAACAAAUAUAUCUAAAGAUGAACUACAAGCUAUCCAUAAUCUUAAAACUGAUAAUGAUUUGAUUGUUAAACCAGCAGAUAAGGGAGGAGCCAUUGUUAUCUGGCCCAAAGAUGCCUAUCUAGUUGAGGCAUAUAGACAAUUAAAUGAUUCAAAUCAUUAUCGAAAACUUACACACGAC